rnacentral:rRNA from 1 species
ACUCCUACGGGAGGCAGCAGUAGGGAAUCUUCCACAAUGGGCGCAAGCCUGAUGGAGCAACACCGCGUGAGUGAAGAAGGGUUUCGGCUCGUAAAGCUCUGUUGUUAAAGAAGAACACGUAUGAGAGUAACUGUUCAUACGUUGACGGUAUUUAACCAGAAAGUCACGGCUAACUACGUGCCAGCAGCCGCGGUAAUACGUAGGUGGCAAGCGUUAUCCGGAUUUAUUGGGCGUAAAGAGAGUGCAGGCGGUUUUCUAAGUCUGAUGUGAAAGCCUUCGGCUUAACCGGAGAAGUGCAUCGGAAACUGGAUAACUUGAGUGCAGAAGAGGGUAGUGGAACUCCACGUGUAGCGGUGAAAUGCGUAGAGAUCUGAAGGAAUACCGGUGGCGAAGGCGGCCCCCUGGACAGAUACUGACACUCAGAUGCGAAAGCGUGGGGAGCAAACAGGAUUAGAUACCCUGGUAGCUCGAUG